AUUAUCAGGAGCCAAAGUGGAAAACGGUUCACCAAGGGCGAGGCUCAGCAAUUGCACUUCGGCUGUGAUGAUUCCUGCUCAUUUCCCAAAUGUGGAAAUCUCGAUUGCAUCAUUUCUGGUAGUGGGGGACUGUGUUCGCGCUCUCUCCUG
rnacentral:snRNA from 1 species